UUGGAGGGCAAGUCUGGUGCCCGCAGCCGCGGUAAUUCCAGCUCCAAUAGCGUAUAUUAAAGUUGUUGCAGUUAAAAAGCUCGUAGUUGAAUUUCGGGGUUCUUCCGUUGGUCAGGCUAACCAGUCUGUACUAGCGUGUAGAAUCUCUACCUUCUGGGGAACCAUCAUGUUAUUAAUUUAGCGUGGUGGGAAACCAGGACCUUUACCUUGAAAAAAUUAGAGUGUUCAAAGCAGGCUUACGUCUGAAUACAUUAGCAUGGAAUAAUAAAAUAGGACGGUGGUCCUGUUUUGUUGGUUUCUGAAUCACCGUAAUGAUUAAUAGGGAUAGUUGGGGGCAUUAGUAUUCAAUUGUCAGAGGUGAAAUUCUUGGAUUUAUUGAAGACUAACUUCUGCGAAAGCAUUUGCCAAGGAUGUUUUCAUUAAUCAAGAACGAAAGUUAGGGGAUCGAAGACGAUCAGAUACCGUCGUAGUCUUAACCAUAAACUAUGCCGACUAGGGAUCGGACGAUGUUAAAUUUUAUUGACUCGUUCGGCGCCUUACGGGAAAC
rnacentral:rRNA from 1 species